rnacentral:rRNA from 1 species
UCGGCGGGGAAGAAAUCGCAUGGGUUAAUACCCUGUGCGGAUGACGGUACCGGCAUAAGAAGCACCGGCUAACUACGUGCCAGCAGCCGCGGUAAUACGUAGGGUGCGAGCGUUAAUCGGAAUUACUGGGCGUAAAGCGUGCGCAGGCGGUUUGUUAAGAUAGGCGUGAAAUCCCCGGGCUCAACCUGGGAACUGCGCUUAUGACUGGCAAGCUAGAGUACGGCAGAGGGGGGUGGAAUUCCACGUGUAGCAGUGAAAUGCGUAGAGAUGUGGAGGAACACCAAUGGCGAAGGCAGCCCCCUGGGUCGAUACUGACGCUCAUGCACGAAAGCGUGGGUAGCAAACGGGAUUAGAUACCCUGGUAGUCCACGCCCUAAACGAUGUCAACUAGGUGUUGGAUGGGUAAAACCAUUUAGUACCGGAGCUAACGCGCGAAGUUGACCGCCUGGGGAGUACGGCCGCAAGGUUAAAACUCAAAGGAAUUGACGGGGACCCGCACAAGCGGUGGAUGAUGUGGAUUAAUUCGAUGCAACGCGAAAAACCUUACCUACCCUUGACAUGUCCAGGAGCCUGAAGAGAUUUGGGUGUGCCCGAAAGGGAACUGGAACACAGGUGCUGCAUGGCUGUCGUCAGCUCGUGUCGUGAGAUGUUGGGUUAAGUCCCGCAACGAGCGCAACCCUUGUCGUUAAUUGCCAUCAUUUAGUUGGGCACUUUAACGAGACUGCCGGUGACAAACCGGAGGAAGGUGGGGAUGACGUCAAGUCCUCAUGGCCCUUAUGGGUAGGGCUUCACACGUCAUACAAUGGUCGGUACAAAGGGUUGCCAAGCCGCGAGGUGGAGCCAAUCCCAGAAAGCCGAUCGUAGUCCGGAUUGCAGGCUGCAACUCGCCUGCAUGAAGUCGGAAUCGCUAGUAAUCGUGGAUCAGCACGUCACGGUGAAUACGUUCCCGGGUCUUGUACACACCGCCCGUCACACCAUGGGAGCGGGUUCCGCCAGAAGUAGGUAGCCUAACCGCAAGGGGNGCGCUUACCACGGCGGGGUUCGUGACUGGGGUGAAGUCGUAACAAGGUAGCCGUA